rnacentral:rRNA from 1 species
CCUACGGGAGGCAGCAGUGGGGAAUAUUGCACAAUGGGCGCAAGCCUGAUGCAGCAACGCCGCGUGAGGGACGACGGCCUUCGGGUUGUAAACCUCUUUUAGUAGGGAAGAAGCGAAAGUGACGGUACCUGCAGAAAAAGCACCGGCUAACUACGUGCCAGCAGCCGCGGUAAUACGUAGGGUGCAAGCGUUAUCCGGAAUUAUUGGGCGUAAAGAGCUCGUAGGCGGUUUGUCACGUCUGCUGUGAAAACUGGAGGCUCAACCUCCAGCCUGCAGUGGGUACGGGCAGACUAGAGUGCGGUAGGGGAGAUUGGAAUUCCUGGUGUAGCGGUGGAAUGCGCAGAUAUCAGGAGGAACACCGAUGGCGAAGGCAGAUCUCUGGGCCGUAACUGACGCUGAGGAGCGAAAGCAUGGGGAGCGAACAGGAUUAGAUACCCUGGUAGUCCAUGCCGUAAACGUUGGGAACUAGAUGUAGGGACCAUUCCACGGUUUCUGUGUCGCAGCUAACGCAUUAAGUUCCCCGCCUGGGGNGGUACGGCCGCGACGGACGUAAACUUAAAAGUAAAGUUAGACGGCGUGAGACGUGCCGACGGACGACGACGAGGGAGGUAGG